GAUGAACGCUAGCGGCAGGCUUAAUACAUGCAAGUCGAGGGGGCAGCAAUGUCACCGGCGAACGGGUGCGUAACGCGUAUGCAACCUACCUACAUCAGGGGGAUAGCCCUAGGAAACUGGGAUUAACACCGCAUAACAUAUGACAAGGCAUCUUGUUAUAUUGAAAUAUUUAUAGGAUGUAGAUGGGCAUGCGUAGGAUUAGCUAGUUGGUAAGGUAACGGCUUACCAAGGCUACGAUCCUUAGGGGCUCUGAGAGGAGUACCCCCCACACUGGCACUGAGAUACGGGCCAGACUCCUACGGGAGGCAGCAGUAGGGAAUAUUGGGCAAUGGAGGCAACUCUGACCCAGCCAUGCCGCGUGCAGGAAGACGGUCCUCUGGAUUGUAAACUGCUUUUGAAUGGGAAGAAUGUGUGGCUUGCGAGCUAUAAUGACGGUACCAUUAGAAUAAGCCACGGCUAACUACGUGCCAGCCGCCGCCGUAA
rnacentral:rRNA from 1 species